UUUACUUAAAGUACACAGCGCCAAAUUCAUAUGCGUAUAAGUUAAAUAAAACCAUACUUAGACCAUAUUACAUCUAUUUUAAAAAUCAUAGAGCAGAUCUGGACAGAUACGAUUCAAGGGUCAAGUGCACUUCAUUUUCAUUCCAUUUCAAAGUUACAUCGAGCCAAGUUCAGGCGUCUAUCUGGAAGUGCAAGGUAACAAAGGAAAGGAGGAAGGUCAGCAAUAAUUCAAACUGUCGGUCGCAGCAAUAUGAAACCACAGCAGCUUUCAGAUGUAGGAAUAAACGACCCAAAAUGCUUGAAUCAAAUUUAAAAACCAACAAAUCAACCCUGAAAUGGAAAAUGAACACCCAAAAGAAAACUGGAAGCUUCAAAGCCUUCAAAACUUAACAAGCCUGCUAGAAAUGGCAACCCAAACCAUGAAAAUCAAGAGAUUUCAGCUGAAAACCACUUUUAACCAAUGAAACAGUAACUGUGUAUGAAAUGUUUAUGUAUUUUUUCAGUUUUUGAAGUCAAAAUGAUUGAAACUUGAAAAGAAAUAAAAAGCUUUUUUGUAGAGUUUUCUCC
rnacentral:lncRNA from 1 species